rnacentral:rRNA from 1 species
CCUACGGGCUGCAGCAGUAGGGAAUCUUCCGCAAUGGACGAAAGUCUGACGGAGCAACGCCGCGUGAGUGAUGAAAGUUUUCGGAUCGUAAAGCUCCGUUGUUAGGGAAGAACAAGUGCCGUUCAAAUAGGGCGGCACCUUGACGGUACCUAACCAGAAAGCCACGGCUAACUACGUGCCAGCAGCCGCGGUAAUACGUAGGUGGCAAGCGUUGUCCGGAAUUAUUGGGCGUAAAGGGCUCGCAGGCGGUUUCUUAAGUCUGAUGUGAAAGCCCCCGGCUCAACCGGGGAGGGUCAUUGGAAACUGGGGAACUUGAGUGCAGAAAAGGAGAGCGGAAUUCCACGUGUAGCGGUGAAAUGCGUAGAGAUGUGGAGGAACACCAGUGGCGAAGGCGGCUCUCUGGUCUGUAACUGACGCUGAGGCGCGAAAGCGUGGGGAGCAAACAGGAUUAGAUACCCGGGUAGUC